rnacentral:misc_RNA from 1 species
GAUGAAGAACGCAGCGAAAUGCGAUAAGUAAUGUGAAUUGCAGAAUUCAGUGAAUCAUCGAAUCUUUGAACGCACAUUGCGCCCCUUGGUAUUCCGGGGGGCAUGCCUGUUCGAGCGUCAUUUCAACCCUCAAGCUCUGCUUGGUAUUGGGCUCCGUCCUCAGGGACGCGCCUCAAAGACCUCGGCGGUGGCGUCUUGCCUCAAGCGUAGUAGAAAACACCUCGCUUUGGAGUGCUGGGCGUCGCCCGCCGGACGAACCUUUGAAUUUUUCUCAAGGUUGACCUCGGAUCAGGUAGGGAUACCCGCUGAACUUAAGCAUAUCAAUAAGCGGAGA